CAGAGGGUGCAAACGUUGUUCGGAAUUACUGGGCGUAAAGCGAGUGUAGGCGGUCUGAAAAGUCGGGUGUGAAAGCCCUGGGCUCAACCCAGGAAGUGCACUCGAAACUGCCAGGCUAGAGUAUCGGAGAGGUUGGUGGAAUUCUCGGUGUAGAGGUGAAAUUCGUAGAUAUCGAGAGGAACACCGGUGGCGAAGGCGGCCAACUGGACGAAUACUGACGCUGAGACUCGAAAGCGUGGGGAGCAAACAGGAUUAGAUACCCUGGUAGUCCACGCCGUAAACGAUGGGUGCUAGGUGUCGCGGGCUUUGACUCCCGCGGUGCCGUAGCUAACGCAUUAAGCACCCCGCCUGGGAAGUACGGCCACAAGGCUA
rnacentral:rRNA from 1 species